rnacentral:rRNA from 1 species
GUAGGUGGCGAGCGUUAUCCGGAAUUACUGGGCGUAAAGGGCACGCAGGCGGCCAAGCAAGUCUGACGUGAAAGCUCCUGGGCUUAACUGGGAGAGGUCGUUGGAAACUGCCUGGCUUGAGGAAAUGAGAGGGGUGCGGAAUUCCCGGUGUAGUGGUGGAAUGCGUAGAUAUCGGGAGGAACACCAGUGGCGAAAGCGGCACCCUAGCAUUGACCUGACGCUCAUGUGCGAAAGCGUGGGGAGCGAACGGGAUUAGAUACCCCGGUAGUCCACGCUGUAAACGAUGAGAACUAGGUGUGGGUAGUGUUAAAACUAUCUGUGCCGAAGCAAACGCGAUAAGUUCUCCGCCUGGGGAGUACGGCCGCAAAGGCUAA